GUGCUUGCUUCGGCAGUAAAUAUACUAAAAUUGUAAUGAUACAGAGAAGGUUAAUAUGGCCCCUGUAUAA
rnacentral:snRNA from 1 species